rnacentral:rRNA from 1 species
GACGAACGCUGGCGGCGUGCUUAACACAUGCAAGUCGAACGGAAAGGCCCUGCUUUUGUGGGGUGCUCGAGUGGCGAACGGGUGAGUAACACGUGAGUAACCUGCCCUUGACUUUGGGAUAACUUCAGGAAACUGGGGCUAAUACCGGAUAGGAGCUCCUGCUGCAUGGUGGGGGUUGGAAAGUUUCGGCGGUUGGGGAUGGACUCGCGGCUUAUCAGCUUGUUGGUGGGGUAGUGGCUUACCAAGGCUUUGACGGGUAGCCGGCCUGAGAGGGUGACCGGCCACAUUGGGAAUGAGAGACGGCCCAGACUCCUACGGGAGGCAGCAGUGGGGAAUAUUGCACAAUGGGCGGAAGCCUGAUGCAGCAACGCCGCGUGCGGGAUGACGGCCUUCGGGUUGUAACCGCUUUCGCCUGUGACGAAGCGUGAGUGACGGUAAUGGGUAAAGAAGCACCGGCUAACUACGUG